UUCCUUUGUCUGUUGCUUCGUGUAAUUAUGUUGUUAAUGAACGUUUAUCGCAUUUUGUUUAGUUAUGUGCCACUUAAUUGUGUUAUGAUUAGUAAAAUGGGCCAUUUUACCGACAUAACAACACUUUGUUAGUGAUUAAACCCUUGUUAACUCGAGUGUACAAAUCGGGUGAAAAAGGAUCCAAUAAACGGAUAAUAGAAUAGCGAAUUUACGCUUUCAGCUGCAAGAAAGUUGACCUAAAAUAUUUCAAUUAUAGAAUGAAUUCAAUGCAAACUUUCACUUCAAACCUCCACUUGUUUUCUUUUUGAACUUCGCCGUUUUUGUGAUUUUUAACUAGAGUUUCUACGGUUCAAGUGAAUGGCUUGCCGAUAAAUCGAUCAGCGCUGCAGAAAUCUCAUUUACGGUGAAUUAUCUUGGUGAAAAUUGGGUGAUGGACGCAAAAAAAUAAAGAACAAAUUAAACAUUUCCAAACAUCUACUGGCAAAUUUUAAGCAACUGGUGGAAAACCUCCACAUAUCCUGAAUAUUCCACAUAGGUAAAGUUUUUUUCAUAAUAUAAUAUUUAAGACUGUCUAAAAAUGAACCUGGAACGCAAGCCCCACUAAAGUGGCCAAAAUCAAAUAUCAAGGUUUAGAAAGAGAAAUUUACAACAUUCCUCAAAUAAAUAGCCUUCAACUGCACAAUUGAAAAGUAAUUUCUACCAGCACUACGUCAGGUUUUGGUUCGCCUCCCAAAUACCAGCCGAUAAAAAAAUCGUAGAUGAGACCGGAAAUUAACGAAAACCGGACAAAUAAGAAAACUACAUACCUGGAUGUUUCAACAGGGUACCAGAACCCGUUUGGUUUCAAUAAUGUUCCAAGGAAAAGCGAAUUUGGAACACAAACACGUCAGCUACACUAGGCGGAACCAGAAAACGACGGCCUGCUGGUACCGCUC